AAUUUGUUCCUUUUCUGGUCCAGAUGUUAAAUGAUUUACAUCUUUUCAUCCCUGUACCAAACAGAAGAAACGGUUCGGAGAAACCCGCGUUUCCCAUAUCGGGUAUGAUCUAUGGUUUAUAAUAAAGCGAUAAUGGCGACGCUGCAAGCGGAGGUCACGUGGGGUCAUGCGCGCUCCCUUAGCGCGUGAUGUGGGGCGCGCGCCCGCCCGCCACCCUGAACGCAGCGCGCGGGGGGUCUGCUGUGGUCCCGUGUGGAUGAAGCGGGACGGAUUUCUUCAUCAUCAACAUCAUCAUCGUGUUGAUGAUGAAGAUGAUGAAGAUUUCAGCCUCUAUGACCUGCAGAUGCACUUUUUAUUGGACAAGUUAAACGGUCGCGACUCGGCAUUUUCCUCUUUGACGAAGAUCAAGACAUUUAGGGAAGAAUCAGGACACUGUUUGGAUGGAAGAGAGGAGGAGGAGCUACAGUGGAGAAAGGUGUUGAGAAAAGAGCUGAGUAUGCCAGAGGAGGAGAAAGAGCAUGUCCAGGACUACAUCGCGGCUCUGCGGACGCAGUACAGUAGAGAGUUGUCAGACUCGCAGUCAGCUGUAGAGACGCUGCGACAGGAGAAUGGCGAGCUGAGACAGGCUCUGAUGGAGGCCAGGAGAGACGUGAUCCUGAUUCAGAGCGAGCUGGACCGCCUGAGGAAAGUGUCUGAGAACAGGACUCCGCCCACCUGGAACCACGCCUUUUCCACGGACGCCCUGUACCGGCGCAUGCUCGGGGCGGUCAGCGGGUGUGUGAGCAGCUGGUCAGUGGCUCUGUGGUCGGACAGAAGACCGCCAGAGAGACUCGGAGACACGACUGGACGCUGUCACAGGGUGCAGAGACGCGUGCUGAGAUACAGAAGUGGUCAGUCGGAGUCGGUUCUGGAUCUGAUCAGCAGUGACCAUGUUGUUGAUGGUGGUGACGUCGGAGGACAGGAGGUACUGGACAUGUCCACGUGUCUUUCUUUAGUUAAACGGCUGAACGUGGUCAGACUGGUGUGUGUUUUUUCAUUUCAGGACAUUUCAGAAUUUCGCGGCGGUGGCAGCGGCGGCAGCGGCAGGAGAAACACGCUGAAUCUGCGCAGGCGUCUGUUCGCCUUCCCGUCUCAGGUGUCCAUCAUCUGUCUGUCCUACUGA
ensembl:lncRNA